CCUCCUGGCCUGGCUGGGCUUCACUCGCUGGAGGCAGAGCAGCGAUGGUGGGUCGGCUGAGCCUGCCCGAGGUGGCCGGGGAGGCUCUUCUGGAGGGCAAGAGGGGGCUGGACAGCCCAGACUCCGGGCUGCCCCCCAGCCCCAGCCCCCCCACCCCAGGCCUGGCCAACGGGCUCCCCGAGAGAGACAGCCCGGCCACCUUCAAGCCUUCUCCUCCUCCUCCUCCUCCUCCUCCUCCUCUGCAGCCUCUUCAGGACGCUUUGCCUUUGGCCGCCUCUCCGCUCCCUGGCUGCACCUCUCGAUUAUGCCCGCUGUCCUUUGGAGAAGGAGUGGAAUUCGACCCGUUGCCACCUAAGGAUAUAAGGUACACCUCUUCGGUGAAAUAUGACUCGGAGAAGCACUUCAUUAACAAUAUUUACAUGCCCAUGGGGCUCGGGGUUUCCGCUUGCAGCCAGACGGUCUUCUGCGUCCCGCAAAGCACAUGGCGCAACUACAAAGCCGAGGUCCACUUCCAGCCGCGCAACAAGGCCGCGAGCUUCACCAGCACCACCAUCAUCUACCCCAAGCACACCACGACCGUCUACACCACCACACUGGAUUACAAUUGCAGGAAGCACAUGCGGAAGUUCUUGUCCAGCGUGGAGUUGGAGUCGUCUGGGAACGAGGACGGUCCCGAGAGUUGCUGAGGCCAGGAUGUUCCUUCGAAGUUUCCCGACGAAAGCUACCUCUCCCGUCCGCCUUAAGGAUCCCAUAGGCCUGCACUUAAAUUUUUGUGGAUGGGAAACUCACGGAAAAUGUCCUUUCCAUCAUUAAAAAAAUGGAGCGCUCUGUAACUUUUUCCCGGUCCUUUUUUCCCCCUCGACAAUAAGGGAAUAUUUUUUCUUUUUCCUAGAAGAAAAGGGACCUGGGCGCACUGCCUCUGAAUGAAAAUAAUGCUUCAAUUGACUCUUUGUGCCGCCUUUGAGGAGCCGAACCCAGCCUGCCCCCGUUGCACUUAAAACCCCAAAGCCAUAAUUUAUUUUCACUCAUCACAGAAGCUCGCUUAUUAUUCCAAAGUCUGUGGCCGGCCACUUGGGGCCGAUCUUUUGAGCUUUUUAUGCCAGCAUUGUUCUGUUCAAAUCCUUUGAAGAAAUCAGUCUGGAUCUGAAGUGUCACCGAAAAGAAUUUUGCAACAAAUCACAAAGAAUACUUCGGCUACUGGUCUCACCAAGUUGGUUAAUUACAAAGGAGUUUUAUUUUUAUUUAAUUCACGGUCAACUCGCUUAAUCGUUUACUCUAGUUUAUUCACUAGGCAUUGCUAUAGCUGGCCUGGAACUUGUAGUAAAUACAAAGAUAAAAACUUUCUUGGGAUCAUCAGGAUUUUUUAAAAUGAAUAUAGUCUGUGCCAUCGAAACACUAUACAGAAUGUAAUAAAACGGAACAUAGUUAUUUAAGGACAAUUAAAAAGAAUUUAAUAAUCAUAUCAGCUUCAAAGAACACACAUCAAAGUCUCGUGCUUUGGCUUUUUUUUUAAAAAAGAAAAGAAACCUAAAUAGAAGCACGAGGAAGAUCUCAUACUAUUUCCUGAGAAUAUUUUGGUAGUAAUGCCAAUUGCGAUUUUGGAUGUGAGCCUAGAACUCAGUUUCAUUUGGCUUUUGCUGCCCGUUGGAAGCACUUGUAGAGGACUUGCUCUUGCAUACGGUAUGCUCCUGGCUCUUUUGUGCAACUUUACAAAGCUGAGGCAAAUUCCUGAGGGCGAAGGAUGGCUCUGGCGGUAGGUUCUGCUGGAUGUAUUCCCCAUAGCGCUUCCUCCUGUUCAGCCUGUAUUUCCACAGCCUCUCCUCUUCAGCAACAGGGUCCUCCAGGAUCCCAUCCCAGCGGAGACUUUCGUUGGUCGCUUCGGAAUCGCCUUGAGUCAAAACCGAAGAGGCCGAAGUGGAGGCAAGGAGGGGGUUUCCUGUUCUUUGCCCUGGAAUGGCUUUCGUGGCAUCAUCUUGUGGCACGCCGGGAUGCUUUCCUGAUCCAAAAGAAGAGUAUCAAAGAGUAAAGCUGAGUGAUUUGGCAGAGAGCAGGGUCAAAAGAUCAGCAACCUAUAAUAACCAGUAUUGGAAACUGCAGCUGACCAGCCAUUUAGUUUGCCAAACUAAUUAAGACUAUUAAUUACCUGUGCUAAGUCUCAGGACCCAGCAAUUGCCAUUGAUACAUUUUCAACAAUAUAAUUGUGUGCAAUCAUGUUGUCAUCCCAUUUUGUGACUCCCUUAUGCCAUCUACUGCUUAUUUUGGGGAAGUGCUGUCCUUAUUUAAAUCAGUUCUAUUCAAAAUAAUACAUGCACGCAACCUGUUAGCUGCGGAACAAGGAAAAGGAAGGAAACAAAUAUUUGUGCAAUCAUGUUAUCUUGCCAUCCUAAGGUAUCUCAAGAUGGGAGGAUAUCUUUAUACCUUUUUGAAGCUAAACCAAUUGUACAAAUGCUAUAUGGCGUUUUGAGCAGCUGGAUACGAUGGUCAAACACGGAAGGUUUAAUCAAGUUCCAUACAAUGAACGAUUUUGUAUUUGUGGAGCAUCAGAGGUGGAGGAUAUCGCACAUGUUUUGUUCAGCUAUGAAUUGUACAAGAAAGAGAGAGACCAAUGCCUCGGGCCAUACAUUAUUCACAAAACACACUGGGACCCACAUAUUAAAAUUUCAUUUUUGUUGGUCGGCCAGAAUCCUAAAAUAACACACAAAACAGCCCUUUUCCUAUUCAAAGCAACACAGCUGAGAAUUGCAUAUCUGGAAUCAAUUGGGGUAAACUGUGGAGGUGAUGCAGAUAUUUGACCUGAACGGGGUCUUGUUAACAGCUUGUUUAUUUUAACUUCUUUUUUUUUACCACGGGUUGUAUGUUGUAUGUAUGUCUAUGUGUUAAAUGUUUUGAUACGGCCGAUGGGCUAAUCAAUAAAACGUGAUUUGAUUUGAUUUGAAAUGCUAUAUGGAGCCCAGCUUGGCCCCUUUUCAAAAUUAUGCCCCACUAGAGCAUGUUCUAACGGCGUUCCAUGCAGUCAUGCCAGCCACAUGACCUUGGAGGUGUCUACAGACAACGCUGGCUCUUCGGCUUAGAAAUGGAGAUGAGCACCAACCCCCAGAGUCGGACACGACUGGACUUAACGUCAGGGGAAACCUUUACCUUUACUAGAGCAUGUUCAAUUCUAAGAUCAGUUCUACAGGCUCCCAGAUGUGUCUCUAAUGCUACACUGUGAUUGUAGACGGGCUUUGUGAAAGUGGAGGUGAGAGUCUGGACAGUCAUUCUCAACUGCUGGCUACAUCUGUCCUUCUCACCAUAUGGUCUUGCCAACCAUGAAAGAUAACUUCCAGUCUGCAUGGACUAAAACAGUGGCAUAAAGAACGCAAUAUUAAGUUUCUGCCAAGGACAACUGCUAAGCAUGGAAUGGGACCGAGCCAAUGAUUAUUAUAUAGUAUAUUAUAUAGUACAGUAUAUUACCGUGAAAGUAUUUUUAUUUGAUUAUGACUCGUUCUUGUGUGUACAGUAGAAUCUCACUUAUCCAAGCUAAACGGGCCGGCAGAACCUUGGAUAAGCAAAUAUCUUGGAUAAUAAGGAGGGAUUAAGGAAAAGCCUAUUAAACAUCAAAUUAGGUUAUGAUUUUACAAAUUAAGCACCAAAACAUCAUGUUGACAGAAAAAGUAGUUCAAUACGCAGUAAUGUUAUGUUGUAAUUACUGUAUUUACGAAUUUAGCACCAAAAUAUCACAAUAUAUUGAAAACAUUUACAAAAGUGCAUUGGAUAAUCCAGAACGUUGGAUAAGCGAGUCUUGGAUAAGUGAGACUCUACAUGUAAUAUAUAAUAUACAAUUAUUAUAGUGUAUUAUUAUUAUACUGUAUUACAUUACAAUAUUAUUAUCAAUAUUAUACGUAUAUACAAUGUAUUA